rnacentral:rRNA from 1 species
GACGAACGCUGGCGGCGUGCCUAACACAUGCAAGUCGAACGGGGUAAUCCUUCGGGAUUACUUAGUGGCGAACGGGUGAGUAACGCGUGAAGAACCUGCCUUUCAGUGGGGGACAACAGUUGGAAACGACUGCUAAUACCGCAUAAUGUUAUUUGAGGGCAUCCUCGAAUAACCAAAGCUUUAUGUGCUGAAAGAUGGUCUCGCGUCUGAUUAGCUAGUUGGUGGGGUAACGGCUCACCAAGGCGACGAUCAGUAGCCGGUCUGAGAGGAUGAACGGCCACAUUGGGACUGAGAUACGGCCCAGACUCCUACGGGAGGCAGCAGUGGGGAAUAUUGGGGCAAUGGGCGAAAGCCUGACCCAGCGACGCCGCGUGAGGGAAGAAGAUCUUCGGAUUGUAAACCUUAGUCAACAGGGAAGAAGAAAGUGACGGUACCUGUGGAGGAAGCCACGGCUAACUACGUG